CAGGCAGCCAGAGGGUGGGACAGUGGGCACACUCUGUGGGAUUUCCCAUCUCCCAGAGUAGGGAGUGCUGACGCCUUCUGCCCAAGGCACGUGGUGGUUGUGCCUAGAAGGUGGUAGUGCCACCCAGUUUCCAGGGUCCUAAGGCGAACCUGAGGAUCACCCAGGGUGGUCAUUUAUGCCGACCCUUGCAGCCUACAGAAUCCAGGGCCCAGAGCUUGCGGACCUACUAGGUGCGCACCGCGCCCUGCAGUGCGGCCACGGCGGCACUGCGGCAUGCCUGGCCGGCCUGGGUGCAGACAAGCGGCGCCGGGGAAGGUGAAGGUGACCGCCUUCUUCUUCCUGGCCUCGAGGGCUGUGCGCUGCGGGGCCGAGGGAUGCUCAGGCCCACCAAAGUUUGCUCCCAGUGGUCGGGGUUCCCAAGAAGCGUCCCGGGGCAGGGACUGUGCGCGCCGCAGCGGGGGGUGGACCCCCAUCCCCGCGGCACUUUGUGCGCUCUUUUCGGGUUCCGAAUCUUAACUCGCAGGGGUGGGAGUAGGUGGGGGUUCCGAGAGACGUUCUCCUUCCGGAAGCAGGUCGCCUGGCCCCGCCGGGCCCCCGCCCGCCUCAGUGCAGCUGCCCCUCCGGCCGGGCCCCAGGGCGAGAGUCCCCAGGUCUGCGGCCGCUCCCACCAGCUGAUUUUGACAGAGGGGGGUCCCGGGCGGCGCGGACGGAGGGGCGAGCCCCUGCCAGAUCCGGGGAUGAUAACGCCGGCUCCAUGUCGCGGCUUCGGGCUGUCCAGGCUCCGCCCCUGUGAGUGUGUAAGUGUGUGAUGCUGCCGCGGCCGCCGCCGCCGCCGCCUGCAGCCGCCGCCGCUGCCGCCCCGGCUGCCGAGCCGCGCCGCGCCGCUGCCGCUGCCCCGGCCGCCCCUGCCGCCGCCACCGCCUCCGCCAGCCCGCAGCCCGCCAGGCGGGCGGCCCCGCCGGCUCGAGCCCGCCGCGCCUGCCGCCGCAGCGUCGGGGCGCUGGGCGCGCGGGCAGCCGCGGACCGAGCAGACCCGAGCGGGCGGUCAGGCACUUGCCCGCCCGCUGCCGCUGCCGCCGCCGCCGCCACCGCCCCGAAGCUCAGGACCCGGCACCUCCGGCGCCCGCCCUCGCCGCCCAUGCGGCCCGGGCACUUUAGCCGGGCAGGAGGGCCGGAGAUCCGGACUGCCGAGAGCAGCGCGCGAGCCGCGCCGAGAGCCGCGCAGACCCGCCGCGAGCAGCGACGGACGCCGCCCGCCGCCGCCACCGCCGCCGCCCGGCCGUUAUGGAUCUAUUCGACUUUUCAGGGACUGGGACCUGGAGCAGCAGUGGUAGGUGUUGCUUUUUGCCUUCUCCUUUGCUGCCCGGGUCCCCGCGCUGGGGCUGGGCUUUCCGCCUUUGUUAAGAGGAGCCGGGGCUUGGUGGGGGCGCCCCGGACGCCCUCCCACUUGCUCUCGGCCACCUCUGGCCCCAGCCGCCGCGACUCCUCGGUCGGGUGCCCGGGUGGGGGUAGGUGCGGAUGA
rnacentral:lncRNA from 1 species